rnacentral:rRNA from 1 species
CCUACGGGUGGCAGCAGUAGGGAAUUUUCGUCAAUGGGCGCAAGCCUGAACGAGCAAUGCCGCGUGAACGAGGCAGGUCUUCGGAUCGUAAAGUUCUGUUGAAGGGGAAAAAGAGCGGAGAGAGGAAAUGCUUUCUGAUUGAUAUUACCCUUCGAGGAAGUCACGGCUAACUACGUGCCAGCAGCCGCGGUAAUACGUAGGUGGCGAGCGUUAUCCGGAUUUACUGGGCGUAAAACGAGCGCAGGCGGGUUAACAAGUUUGGUAUGAAAGGCUUUUGCUUAACGAAAGUUUGUAUCAAAAACUGUUAAUCUAGAGUGUAGUAGAGAGUUCUGGAAUUCCAUGUGGAGCGGUGGAAUGCGUAGAUAUAUGGAAGAACACCAGUGGCGAAGGCGAGAACUUAGGCUAUCACUGACGCUUAGGCUCGAAAGUGUGGGGAGCAAAUAGGAUUAGAUACCCUGGUAGUC